UGGGGAAUUUUGGACAAUGGGCGAAAGCCUGAUCCAGCAAUGCCGCGUGUGUGAAGAAGGCCUUCGGGUUGUAAAGCACUUUUGUCCGGAAAGAAAUGGCUCUGGUUAAUACCUGGGGUCGAUGACGGUACCGGAAGAAUAAGGACCGGCUAACUACGUGCCAGCAGCCGCGGUAAUACGUAGGGUCCAAGCGUUAAUCGGAAUUACUGGGCGUAAAGCGUGCGCAGGCGGUUGUGCAAGACCGAUGUGAAAUCCCCGAGCUUAACUUGGGAAUUGCAUUGGUGACUGCACGGCUAGAGUGUGUCAGAGGGGGGUAGAAUUCCACGUGUAGCAGUGAAAUGCGUAGAGAUGUGGAGGAAUACCGAUGGCGAAGGCAGCCCCCUGGGAUAACACUGACGCUCAUGCACGAAAGCGUGGGGAGCAAACAGGAUUAGAUACCCUGGUGGUCCACGCCCUAAACGAUGUCAACUAGUUGUUGGGGGAUUCAUUUCCUUAGUAACGUAGCUAACGCGUGAAGUUGACCGCCUGGGGAGUACGGUCGCAAGAUUAAAAGCUUAAA
rnacentral:rRNA from 1 species